rnacentral:rRNA from 1 species
CUAAAUACUACCCAGUGACCGAUAGCGUAUAGUACUGUGAAGGAAAGGUGAAAAGCACCCCGGGAGGGGAGUGAAAAAGAACCUGAAACCCUGUGCCUACAAGCACCUAGAGCACGUCAAUGUGUGAUAGGGUACUUUUUGUAGAACGGUCCGGCGAGCGAUUGUAUGCAGCAAGGUUAAGGACUUAAGGUCUGGAGCCGAAGCGAAAGCGAGUUUGAAAAGGGCGUUAAGUUGCAUAUAAUGGGCCCGAAACCGGGUGACCUACCCAUGGUCAGGUUGAAGUGGAAGUAAAAUUCCAUGGAGGACCGAACCGACCUCCGUUGAAAAGGCGGCGGAUGAACUGUGGGUAGCGGAGAAAUUCCAAUCGAACCCGGAGAUAGCUGGUUCUCCCCGAAAUAGUUUUAGGACUAGCCUCAAGUUAGAUACCUGGAGGUAAAGCACUGAAUAGCCUAGCGGCCGAGAGGUUAGCGAAGCUUAUCAAACUCAGAAUGCCAGAGUAUUGAUGCUUGGGAGUCAGACAGUGUCAGAUAAAUGUCAUUGUCAAAAGGGAAACAGCCCAGAUCUACAGCUAAGGUCCCAAAGUCAGGUUAAGUGGAAAACGAUGUGAAGAUACGCAGACAACCAGGAUGUUGGCUCAGAAGCAGCCACUCAUUCAAAGAGUGCGUAAUAGCUCACUGGUCGAGCGUCUUUGCGCGGAGAAUUUAACGGGGCUAAACCUGACACCGAAGCUUAGGCAAUACAGCAAUGUAUUGGGUAGGGGAGCGUUGUAUACGCGGUGAAACAGUAGCGCAAGCGGCUGUGGAGUGUAUAGAAGUGAGAAUGCCGGAAUGAGUAGCGCGAAUGCAGUGAGAAUCUGCAUGGCCGAAAGCCUCAGGUUUCUGGAGGAAGGUUCGUCCGCUCCAGGUUAGUCGGGAGCUAAGGUGAGGCCUAACGGCGUAGCCGAUGCACAGACGGUAGAGAUUCCGUCACCACCAAAAGAGUUAAACACAGGGACACAUUUGAAGUCUCGGAGCCGGGUGUUGGUUCCGGUAGCGAUCGAGGGAAAUUAGUACCGAAGUCCGGGAUGGAAGAUGGCGAGAAAAGCUGUGUGUAUUUCUGAGGUGCCCGUACCGCAAACCGACACAGGUAGGUAGGAAGAAGAUUCUAAGGCCAACGGGAGAAGGGUUGUUAAGGAACUCGGCAAAUUGACCCCGUAACUUCGGGAGAAGGGGUGCUCCAGAGAUGGAGCCGCAGAGAAUCGGCCCAAGCAACUGUUUACCAAAAACACAGGUUUGUGCUAAAUCGAAAGAUGACGUAUACGAGCUGACGCCUGCCCGGUGCUGGAAGGUUAAGAGGAGAUGUGCAAGCAUUGAAUCGAAGCCCCAGUGAACGGCGGCCGUAACUAUAACGGUCCUAAGGUAGCGAAAUUCCUUGUCAGGUAAGUUCUGACCCGCAUGAAAGGCGUAAUGAUUUGGGCACUGUCUCAACAGCCCGCCCGGCGAAAUUGUAGUACCGGUGAAGAUGCCGGUUACCCGCGACAAGACGGAAAGACCCCAUGGAGCUUUACUGUAGCCUAAUAUUGGGUUUCGAUGUUGCAUGCACAGGAUAGAUGGGACACAGGGAAACAAUCGCUUUGGCGGUUGCGGAGUGGCCGUUGGGAUACCAUCCUUGCGAUAUUGGAAUUCUAACCUGCGGCUCUGAAUCGAGUCGGGGGACAUUGUUAGGUGGGCAGUUUGACUGGGGCGGUCGCCUCCUAAAAAGUAACGGAGGCGUUCAAAGGUUCGCUCAGCUUGAACGGAAAUCAAGCAAAAGAGUGCAAACGCAGAAGCGAGCCUAACUGCGAGACUGACGGGUCGAGCAGUAACGAAAGUUGGAGUUAGUGAUCCGGUGGUAUGUGAGUGGAAAUGCCAUCGCUCAACGGAUAAAAGUUACCCCUGUCUCUUAUACACAUCUCCGAGCCCACGAGACAAGAGGCAAU